CCAAUUCCUUACUCUGGUCUGUAUCUGAUUAAUUUUAAUGUUCCCAAACCUAAAUUAUUGCCUAACUAAUUUGCUGCUUUAAUUUGUUGCUCCCCCUGAUUUUAACUUAUUGUUAAAAAUCAUUUUUAUCGCUGGUGCUUCUAAACAUAAUAACAGACUCAAAAGGCUUGUGAAUUUUAGGGGGGAAAUCUUGAAAAAACCUAACAGAAACACAAGAACCACUUUAUUUGACACUGUUGAAAACAUAGCCCAAAAGGCUGAACACUGUAGGGAAUGCAGGAUUAACAAUCAAUAGACAGAGAAAAAGACAGAGGCAGCCACUACUCUUAGAACGGCAACCAAGAGCUGGGAGACAAUUUUUUGCAAUGGUUUACUAAAUAUGGUCAGGGAAGAGGCAGGAGAAAGCCUGGAAGUACAUGUUUCAAAUACUUAGCUGCCUAUAAAGCUGAAACAGUUUACUUGUGCCCCAAGUGGCAAAUAGAUCCAGCAUAGACAGCAUGCAUGGUGGAAGCCCCGAUCUCAACUGCAGCAUCUGACCUCUCAAGACAAAAAAAACUACAAUGGAUCUGUCUAGAAACAUGAAGAAAGAGAGUGCAACAUGGAAGAAAGAAAGAAUACUUGAUUGGGAAAGGGUGGUGCUCCUCAUGGCUUCCCCUCCUACAUAAUGAAGAGCUGAAUCAGCGAACAGAGUGAACACUCAAGAAGAGAUGGCUGCUGCUGAUGUCUCUCUCUAGGUCAUUACUUCUCUUCCAACUACAAAUGCUGCAUGAUAAGCUUACAGGUCAGCUGCUGAAUUCUAGCUAAGCACAAGUUGAACUAUGGACAUCUUGCUGACAUGGUUGUAACCCAAACAUCCCAACCAUCUAAUUGACAAGGAUAACAAAUGCUGACAUUAUCAAAUGCUAUCAUGCUUCUUUUCCACGGUAACUUUUGUCCUGAUAUGACCCGUAAAGAAAACUACUGCUAUCCAAAAGAACACUUGAGGAGCUGGACCAGUACAACAAUUUCCAUAUAGCUGGCAAAAAUAGAUGACAGUUUUAUAGCUGUUUAAAAUGCUCAAGUUUAAGCCCCACAUGGUAUGUUUCUAUUAAAACAAGGCAUGUUUAUUUACAGAAAUGUCAUAACUACCAGCAGACUUUGCCAGGCAGCAAACGUACUAUAUUUAAUGUAUGUACUAACAUGCAGCCUAAAUAAAUAUUGUGCCUCCAGCUUGGUUCAACAUCUGUGAGCCUUCUCCACCUAUUGCCAUUUUAAACCAAUAUUUUCUUAAUGAAAAUGCAUGAACUAUGAUUUCAAAUGCCCAAAUCAAUCUGUCAAUCCUAACUAGAAGAGUCUUGCUGAAUAGUAAGUCAACACUUUUGUAAAUCCCAUGUAUGCAAUGCAUCUAAUUCUAGCUAGGAUCUGCAACUAGAUUUGUGCCACAAGCUAUGUGGUACAAUAAUUGUAACUCCAAGACAGAUAAAAUACUUUCUUACGAUAUAUACUACUGGCUGUUUUAUGCAGAAAGAAGUAUCUACAGAAAAGGCCAUAAAAUGCCUGAAAACUAGAGGGUUACAAACAGCAAGUUAAACAGGGAUAUCUCAGCUUCCAUUUCUCAUCUCUGUCACAGCUACUGCAGUUAAGAGUAAUGACCACAAACCUAUAUAGAAAUUAUGCUGCUUUUCACUGGAUAUGUUAUGGGGAUAGGUAAAAAACACAUGUAUUUAUGUUAUAGAGUUCAACUGUCCCAACAAAGGUCUCUUUUUAAUGGUGGGCUCUGAAUUUAUCAUUAAUUUUUAUUUAUUUUAUUAGAUUUAUACCCCGCCCAUCUAGACCAAAGGUCUACUCUGGGUGGCAGAGUUAUGACCAUAAUUAAAUGAUAUGACCAUAAAAAAGUAUAAGGAAAAAAAGGACAAUUUUUGCAAGCUGUAAGUGUUCCCCCUGUGAUGUCAUAUGCAUUGUUUCCCUAUUUAUAAUAUAGAAGUGGAUCAUUAUGGGAAGAUUAGGAAACUUCAAAUUCAAAACAAUAUACACCAUACGUUUCCGUGUAUAAGAUGAUACUUUUGUCUAAAAUCUUUAGACUAAAAAUUGAGGGUACAUG